GAUGAACGCUGGCGGCGUGCCUAAUACAUGCAAGUCGAGCGAACAGAUAAGGAGCUUGCUCCUUUGACGUUAGCGGCGGACGGGUGAGUAACACGUGGGUAACCUACCUAUAAGACUGGGAUAACUUCGGGAAACCGGAGCUAAUACCGGAUAACAUUUAGAACCGCAUGGUUCUAAAGUGAAAGAUGGUUUUGCUAUCACUUAUAGAUGGACCCGCGCCGUAUUAGCUAGUUGGUAAGGUAACGGCUUACCAAGGCGACGAUACGUAGCCGACCUGAGAGGGUGAUCGGCCACACUGGAACUGAGACACGGUCCAGACUCCUACGGGAGGCAGCAGUAGGGAAUCUUCCGCAAUGGGCGAAAGCCUGACGGAGCAACGCCGCGUGAGUGAUGAAGGGUUUCGGCUCGUAAAACUCUGUUAUUAGGGAAGAACAAAUGUGUAAGUAACUGUGCACAUCUUGACGGUACCUAAUCAGAAAGCCACGGCUAACUACGUGCCAGCAGCCGCGGUAAUACGUAGGUG
rnacentral:rRNA from 1 species